AAUCAACGCUGGCGGCGUGCCUAACACAUGCAAGUCGAACCGCGAAAGUCCCGCAAGGGAUUAGUAGAGUGGCAAACGGGUGAGUAACGCGUGGGUGACCUGCCUUCGAGUGGGGGAUAACGUUUCGAAGGGACGCUAAUACCGCAUGACAUCCUGCCUUUGAAGAGGCGGAGAGUCAAAGCCGGGGAUCGCAAGACCUGGC
rnacentral:rRNA from 1 species